rnacentral:rRNA from 1 species
CUACGGGAGGCAGCAGUGGGGAAUUUUGCGCAAUGGGCGAAAGCCUGACGCAGCGACGCCGCGUGAGGGAAGAAGGCCUUCGGGUCGUAAACCUCUGUCGGGGGGGAAGAAACUCCCUGUGGCUAAUAUCCACGGGGAUUGACGGUACCCCCUAAGGAAGCAUCGGCUAACUACGUGCCAGCAGCCGCGGUAAUACGUAGGAUGCAAGCGUUGCUCGGAAUUAUUGGGUGUAAAGGGCGCGUAGGCGGCCUUGUAAGUCUUGGGUGAAAUCCCCCGGCUUAACCCGGGAAUUGCCCAUGAUACUGCUUGGCUUGAGUACGGGAGAGGGAAGCGGAAUUCCUGGUGUAGCGGUGAAAUGCGUAGAUAUCAGGAGGAACACCGGUGGCGAAGGCGGCUUCCUGGACCGAUACUGACGCUGAGGCGCGAAAGCGUGGGUAGCAAACAGGAUUAGAUACCCUUGUAGUC